UUUAUUUUCAAGUUUUCUACUCCGCUGGCCAGCACCUCGCCUAAAUAGGUGUGCGUUUCUUUUUCUUCUAGAUGCAAAAAGUUUUAACCAUCUGUUAUUCUUCUUGAACUCACAAUGCCUGAUGUUGUUGGGCCAGACGAGCAACAAGGGCAACUACAUUACAACGGCAGUUUCAAGGCGGCAACCCUAAUGACUCCUUGUCGAUACGAGGGAGGAUCCUCUGGAGCAAAAUAGAGGAGAGAGCCUUUGAAUUACUUGCUCAACUCUUGUCAAGCUCGGCCUAUCAAGAGGCAACAGCAUGCAUUAUUCAUCUCUACAAAACUCCCUGUGCCGUGUCAGAAACUACAUCAACAGCCAUGACUAGUCCUCUGAUUGCUGCAGUGCCUUCAGAAAGUAUUCAUACCCAUUUACUUUUUCCACAUUUUGUUGUGUUACAGCCUGA